ensembl:snoRNA LOC120101354 small nucleolar RNA SNORA17
CCCUAUAGGCUAUGCAAGUGUGGCUGCUAUGUCAUACAUGCAACAGUAGGUACAGAAGAAAGACCUAUGAACAUACGAAUGAUUAUUGGCCUAAUAUU